GUUAGGAAUUUUGGGCAAUGGGCGAAAGCCUGACCCAGCAACGCCGCGUGGGUGAUGAAGGCCUUAGGGUUGUAAAGCCCUUUUCCAGGGGAAGAUGAUGACGGUACCCUGGGAAUAAGCCCCGGCUAACUACGUGCCAGCAGCCGCGGUAAUACGUAGGGGGCAAGCGUUGUCCGGAUUUAUUGGGCGUAAAGCGCGUGUAGGCGGCAAGGUGUGUCGUGCGUGAAAUCUCCCGGCUUAACUGGGAGGGGCCGUGCGAAACUGCCUCGCUUGAGGUCGGAAGGGGAAAGUGGAAUUCCGGGUGUAGUGGUGGAAUACGUAGAUAUCCGGAGGAACACCAGCGGCGAAGGCGGCUUUCUGGUCCGAUUCUGACGCUGAGACGCGAAAGCGUGGGGAGCGAUCCGGAUUAGAAACCCUGGUAGUCC
rnacentral:rRNA from 1 species